rnacentral:rRNA from 1 species
UACGUAGGUCCCGAGCGUUGUCCGGAUUUAUUGGGCGUAAAGCGAGCGCAGGUGGUUUAAUAAGUCUGAUGUAAAAGGCAGUGGCUCAACCAUUGUGUGCAUUGGAAACUGUUAGACUUGAGUGCAGUAGAGGAGAGUGGAAUUCCAUGUGUAGCGGUGAAAUGCGUAGAUAUCGGGAGGAACACCUGUGGCGAAGGCGGCUCUCUGGACUGUAACUGACACUGAGGCUCGAAAGCGUGGGUAGCAAACAGG